rnacentral:rRNA from 1 species
AUUGAACGCUGGCGGCAGCCCUAACACAUGCAAGUCGAGCGGAUGAAGGUAGCUUGCUCCUUGAUUCAGCGGCGGACGGGUGAGUAAUGCCUAGGAAUCUGCCUGGUAGUGGGGGAUAACAUCCGGAAACGGGUGCUAAUACCGCAUACGUCCUGAGGGAGAAAGUGGGGGAUCUUCGGACCUCACGCUAUUAGAUGAGCCUAGGUCGGAUUAGCUAGUUGGUGGGGUAAAGGCCUACCAAGGCGACGAUCUGUAACUGGUCUGAGAGGAUGAUCAGUCACACUGGAACUGAGACAGGGCCCAGACUCCUAGGGGAGGAAGCAGUGGGGAAUAUUGGACAAUGGGCGAAAGCCUGAUCCAGCCAUGCCGCGUGUGUGAAGAAGGUCUUCGGAUUGUAAAGCACUUUAAGUUGGGAGGAAGGGCCGUAAGUUAUACUCUUGCUUUUUUGACGUUACCCGCAGAAUAAGCACCGGCUAACUUCGUG